UACGUAGGUGGCAAGCGUUGUCCGGAUUUAUUGGGUUUAAAGGGUGCGUAGGUGGUCAAUUAAGUCAGUGCUGAAAUAUCCCGGCUUAACCGGGAGGGUGGCAUUGAUACUGAUUGACUUGAGUGGAGUUGAGGUAGGCGGAAUUGACGGUGUAGCGGUGAAAUGCUUAGAUAUCGUCAAGAACACCGAUAGCGAAGGCAGCUUACCAAGCUCAAACUGACACUGAUGCACGAAAUUGUGGUGAUCAAACAGG
rnacentral:rRNA from 1 species